UACGAAGGGGGCUAGCGUUGUUCGGAAUUACUGGGCGUAAAGGGCGCGUAGGCGGUGUGUCAAGUCGGACGUGAAAUCCCCGGGCUCAACCCGGGAACUGCGUCCGAUACUGGAUGGCUUGAAUCCGGGAGAGGGAUGUGGAAUUCCAGGUGUAGCGGUGAAAUGCGUAGAUAUCUGGAGGAACACCGGUGGCGAAGGCGGCAUCCUGGACCGGUAUUGACGCUGAGGCGCGAAAGCUAGGGUAGCAAACGGG
rnacentral:rRNA from 1 species